rnacentral:rRNA from 1 species
ACGUCGUGAGACAGUUCGGUCUCUAUCUGGUGUGGGCGUCCGAUGCUUGAAGAGGAGAUCUUCUUAGUACGAGAGGACCAGGAGAUACAGACCUCUGGUGUUCCAGUUAUCCUGCCAAGGGUAGUUGCUGGGUAGCCAAGUUUGGAAAGGAUAAGCGCUGAAGGCAUAUAAGCGCGAAGCCAACCUCAAGAUAAGGCAUCGUGUUGUAGCAAUACAAUAUAGGCUCCUUGUAGACUACAAGGUUGAUAGGCUGCAUGUGUAAGAUCCGUAAGGAUUUCAGCUAAGCAGUACUAAUAAGCCAAAAGUUUGAUCU